GUAGUAUUCCCUCCGUCCCAAAAUUCUUGUCUUACAUUUGUUUAGAUACGGAUGUAUCUAACACUAAAAUGUAACUAGAUACAUCCGUAUUUAGACAAAUUUAAGACAAGAAUUUUGGGACAGAGGGAGUGCAAA
rfam:Triticum aestivum genome assembly, contig: Triticum_aestivum_CS42_TGACv1_scaffold_220656_3B